GGAGAGAUGGCCGAGUGGCUGAAGGCGCGCCCCUGCUAAGGGCGUAUAGGUUAAACCCUAUCGAGGGUUCGAAUCCCUCUCUCUCCGCCA
rnacentral:tRNA from 1 species